rnacentral:tRNA from 1 species
CAUUGAAUGGCUGAAAUUUUAAGCAAUGGUCUCUUAAACCAAAAUAUAGUUAUAAACUUUCAAUGA